rnacentral:rRNA from 1 species
UACGUAGGGUGCAAGCGUUGUCCGGAAUUAUUGGGCGUAAAGAGCUCGUAGGCGGUUUGUCGCGUCUGCUGUGAAAACUCAGGGCUUAACCCUGAGCUUGCAGUGGGUACGGGCAGACUAGAGUGCGGUAGGGGAGACUGGAAUUCCUGGUGUAGCGGUGAAAUGCGCAGAUAUCAGGAGGAACACCGGUGGCGAAGGCGGGGUCUCUGGGCCGUAACUGACGCU